AACGAACGCUGGCGGCAUGCCUAACACAUGCAAGUCGAACGAGACCUUCGGGUCUAGUGGCGCACGGGUGCGUAACGCGUGGGAAUCUGCCCAAAGGUUCGGAAUAACUCGGGGAAACCCGUGCAAAUACCGGAUGAUGUCUUCGGACCAAAGAUUUAUCGCCUUUGGAUGAGCCCGCGUCGGAUUAGCUAGUUGGCGAGGUAAAGGCUCACCAAGGCGACGAUCCGUAGCUGAUCUGAGAGGAUGAUCAGCCACACUGGGACUGAGACACGGCCCAGACUCCUACGGGAGGCAGCAGUGGGGAAUAUUGGACAAUGGGCGAAAGCCUGAUCCAGCAAUGCCGCGUGAGUGAUGAAGGCCUUAGGGUUGUAAAGCUCUUUUACCCGGGAUGAUAAUGACAGUACCGGGAGAAUAAGCCCCGGCUAACUCCGUGCCAGCAGCCGCGGUAAUACGGAGGGGGCUAGCGUUGUUCGGAAUUACUGGGCGUAAAGCGCACGUA
rnacentral:rRNA from 1 species